rnacentral:rRNA from 1 species
CCUACGGGAGGCAGCAGUCGAGAAUCAUUCACAAUGGGGGAAACCCUGAUGGUGCGACGCCGCGUGGGGGAAUGAAGGUCUUCGGAUUGUAAACCCCUGUCAUGUGGGAGCAAAUUAAAAAGAUAGUACCACAAGAGGAAGAGACGGUUAACUCUGUGCCAGCAGCCGCGGUAAUACAGAGGUCUCAAGCGUUGUUCGGAAUCACUGGGCGUAACGCGUGCGUAGGCUGUUUCGUAAGUCGUGUGUGAAAGGCGCGGGCUCAACCCGCGGACGGCACAUGAUACUGCGAGACUAGAGUAAUGGAGGGGGAACCGGAAUUCUCGGUGUAGCAGUGAAAUGCGUAGAUAUCGAGAGGAACACUCGUGGCGAAGGCGGGUUCCUGGACAUUAACUGACGCUGAGGCACGAAGGCCAGGGGAGCGAAAGGGAUUAGAUACCCUGGUAGUC